rnacentral:rRNA from 1 species
ACGAACGCUGGCGGCGUGCUUAACACAUGCAAGUCGAACGGAAAGGCCCUGCUUUUGUGGGGUGCUCGAGUGGCGAACGGGUGAGUAACACGUGAGUAACCUGCCCUUGACUUUGGGAUAACUUCAGGAAACUGGGGCUAAUACCGGAUAGGAGCUCCUGCUGCAUGGUGGGGGUUGGAAAGUUUCGGCGGUUGGGGAUGGACUCGCGGCUUAUCAGCUUGUUGGUGGGGUAGUGGCUUACCAAGGCUUUGACGGGUAGCCGGCCUGAGAGGGUGACCGGCCACAUUGGGACUGAGAUACGGCCCAGACUCCUACGGGAGGCAGCAGUGGGGAAUAUUGCACAAUGGGCUGAAGCCUGAUGCAGCAACGCCGCGUGCGGGAUGACGGCCUUCGGGUUGUAAACCGCUUUCGCCUGUGACGAAGCGUGAGUGACGGUAAUGGGUAAAGAAGCACCGGCUAACUACGUG